GUGCUUCCUUCAGCACAUAUACAAAAAUUGGAAUGAUACAGAGAAGAUUGGCAUGGCCCCUGUGCAAGGAUGACACGCAAAUUCGUGAAGCAUUCCAUAUUUUA
rnacentral:snRNA from 1 species